rnacentral:rRNA from 1 species
GACGGAGGAUGCAAGCGUUAUCCGGAAUGAUUGGGCGUAAAGCGUUCGCAGGUGGCUGUUCAAGUCUGCUGUCAAAGACCGGGGCUUAACCCUAGAAAGGCAGUGGAAACUGGACGGCUGGAGUGCAGUAUGGGUAGAGGGAAUUCCCAGUGUGGCGGUGAAAUGCGUAGAGAUUGGGAAGAACACCGGUGGCGAAAGCGCUCUGCUGGACUGCAACUGACACUGAGGUACGAAAGCUAGGGGAGCGAAAGGG